UACGUAGGGUGCGAGCGUUAAUCGGAAUUACUGGGCGUAAAGCGUGCGCAGGCGGUUGUGCAAGACAGAUGUGAAAUCCCCGGGCUUAACCUGGGAAUGGCAUUUGUGACUGCACGGCUAGAGUGUGUCAGAGGGGGGUAGAAUUCCACGUGUAGCAGUGAAGUGCGUAGAUAUGUGGAGGAAUACCGAUGGCGAAGGCAGCCCCCUGGGAUAACACUGACGCUCAUGCACGAAAGCGUGGGGAGCAAACAGG
rnacentral:rRNA from 1 species